ensembl:lncRNA
UUUUCUUUUUUUUUUCUGUUUUAAUUUAUGGAUAACCAGGGGCACAUACCAAAACUCAUACAUCAUUUACAAACUUAGUGUAAUGUAACAAAUUAUGUUGGCUGUCAGGGAAAAUGUAAAGAGUAAAAAGUACAUUAUUUUCUUUAGGAAUGUAGUGAAGUAAAAGUAGUCAACAAAUAUAAAUAGUAAAGUACAACCCCCCCCCCCAAAAAAAAAAUACUUAAUUAGUACUUUAAAGUGUUUUUACUUAAAUACUUUACACCUCUGGAUACAAUGGGUGGUUUUCAUUGAUGACAUAGAGUACUUGGUGCUGUAACGAAAACAUUACAGCCAAAACAUGACUAUCGUUUUCUUAUUUUGACAUAGUUGACAGCAUAUACACCGAGUGUAGAAAACAUUAGCAACACCUGCUCAGCUGUCCCCAGUCCACCUGGCCGUGCUGCUGCUCCAGUUUCAACUGACCUGAGCCCUACGACCAUGCCCCAGGACUACCUGACAUGAUGACUCCUUGCUGUCCCCAGUCCACCUGGCCGUGCUGCUGCUCCAGUUUCAACUGUUCUGCCUUAUUAUUAUUGGACCAUGCUGGUCAUUUAUGAACAUUUGAACAUCUUGGACAUGUUCUGUUAUAAUCUCCACCCGGCACAGCCAGAAGAGGACUGGCCACCCCACAUAGCCUGGUUCCUCUCUAGGUUUCUUCCUAGGUUUUGGCCUUUCUAGGGAGUUUUUCCUAGCCACCGUGCUUCUACACCUGCAUUGCAUGCUGUUUGGGGUUUUAGGCUGAGUUUCUGUAGAGCACUUUGAGAUAUCAGCUGAUGUUCUUAGGGCUAUAUAAAUACAUUUCAUUUGAUUUGAUUUUCAUGAUAUAUACGUCAUACAGUAAAUAACAAAACUAACAGCCGUAAAGGAAACAGGAAGUUUGCGGACCGUUUUCAUGAACACGCCAAUAGAUCAUUUGUUCCGUACAAAAUGGUGAGAUCUUUUUUGUGUUGGUAAAAAUAAUUAUGUGAUAAAUGGUGGUAAAAAUAUUGAUGUAAACUAAUACGAUGAAUAUAAUAUAUAUUAUAGAUAUUUGCCUGAUACAUGAAAACUUAAGCGAAAAAGUGCAUUUUUGUAAUGAGAAAAAACAAGUCAAUUUGGUGGAAACACUGGUGGAAAAUGUGCAUGUUUUCUUUAUGAGUAUUCACAUGAAAAUAUGUCACGAAUUGGAUGGAAACCUGGCUAGUGACUGACCAGGUGAAUCCAGGUGAAAGCUAUGAUCCCUUAUUGAUGUCACCUGUUAAAUCCACUUCAAUCAGUGGUGAUGAAAGGGGAGGAGACAGGUUAAAGAUGAAGGGGAGGAGACAGGUUAAAGAUGAAGGGGAGGAGACAGGUUAAAGAUGAAGGGGAGGAGACAGGUUAAAAAUGAAGGGGAGGAGACAGGUUAAAUAUGAAGGGGAGGAGACAGGUUAAAGAUGAAGGGGAGGAGACAGGUUAAAAAUGAAGGGGAGGAGACAGGUUAAAGAUGAAGGGGAGGAGACAGGUUAAAGAUGAAGGGGAGGAGACCUGGUUAAAGAUGAAGGGGAGGAGACCUGGUUAAAUAUGAAGGGGAGGAGACAGGUUAAAGAUGAAGGGGAGGAGACAGGGUUAAAGAUGAAGGGGAGGAGACAGGUUAAAGAUGAAGGGGAGGAGACAGGUUAAAGAUGAAGGGGAGGAGACAGGUUAAAUAUGAAGGGGAGGAGUCAGGUUAAAGAUGAAGGGGAGGAGACAGGGUUAAAAAUGAAGGGGAGGAGACAGGGUUAAAUAUGAAGGGGAGGAGACAGGGUUAAAAAUGAAGGGGAGGAGACAGGGUUAAAGAAGGAUUUUUAAGCCUUGAGACAAUUGAGACAUGGAUUGUGUAUGUGUGCCAUUCAGAGGGUGAGUGGGCAAGACAAAAUAUUUAAGUGCCUUUGUACUGGGUAUGGUAGUAGGUGCCAGGCACACCGGUUUGAGUGUGUCAAGAACAGCAACGCUGCUGAGUUUUUCAGGCUCAACAGUGUCCUGUGUGUAUCAAGAAUGGUCCACCACCCAAAGAACAUCCAGCCAAAUUGACACAACUGUGGGAACCAUUGGAGUCACCAUGGGGCCAGCAUCCCUGUGGAACGCUUUCAACACCUUGUAGAGUCCCUGACACCGAUGAUUUGAGGCUGUUCUGAGGAGAAAAGGGGUGCAACUCAAUAUUAGGAAGUUGUUCCUAAUGUUUUGUACACUCAGUGUAAACCUGUCCGUGACCAUCAUCAGGGAAAAAAAUAACAAUUGAAAAAAAAAAAAAAACUACAAACUACAUCAUUUAGAUCUUUGUAAACCUUGUGGUUUGAACAUUUGAAUAAAAUACCUUUAUAUAAGGGUUAUAAAUUAAAUCUGACAUUAUCUACUAAGCAAAAGACUUUCAUUAGGCCUAUAUUAAUUUCUAAUUUAUCAGAGGUUCAUUAUUAAUUAUAAACCGGGUGGUUCGAGCCCUAAAUGCUGAUAGGCUAAAAGCCAUGGUAUAUCAGACUGUAUACCACAGGUAUGACAAAACAUUUAUUUUAACUGUUCUAAUUACAUUGGUAACCAGUUUAUAAUAGCAAUAAGGCACCUCAGGGGUUUGUGAUAUAUGGUCAAUAUACAACAGCUAAGGGCUGUAUCCAGGCACGCCGCGUUGCGUCGUGAAUAAGAACAGCCUUUAGCCGUGGUAUAUUGGCCGCACAUCGCCAAACCUCAUGCCUUACUGCUUAAUUAUACCACUCAGUGUGUCGUAAAUGGAGCAGUCUGGGCAUUGAUCUGCAGCGUCUCUGUAGAGUCAAUAGGAUUGAUCCAUUGAGGUUUUUUUGUAGCAGAACUAAUCACACAGAACCCUUUCUCCCUCAAUUAGUCACUUCAGACUCUCUUCGGGGUUGUGUCCUAAAUGGCACCCUAUUCCCUAUAUAGUGCACUACUUUUAACCAGGGCCCUAUGGCACCCUAUUCCCUUUAUAGUGCACUACUUUUAACCAGGGCCCAAUGGCACCCUAUUCCCUUUAUAGUGCACUACUUUUAACCAGGGCCCAUAGUGCUCUGGUAAAAAGCAGUGCACUAUAUAGGACAUAAGCUGACAUUUUGGACUGACCAUCUACUACCGAUGGCCCUUUUUUAGAUGAGUGUUUCUCAAUCUGUUUUUUAACAGGGACUGUGUUCCAGUCUGUUUUUGCUAAAAUGCCAACAAGUCCUUGUCACUCAUUGUUUUGUGAGAUGGUGUUGGUUGAAGCAGAAAGAUAUCUGAGACCAGGCUAGG